GUGGGGAAUUUUGGACAAUGGGCGAAAGCCUGAUCCAGCAAUGCCGCGUGUGUGAAGAAGGCCUUCGGGUUGUAAAGCACUUUUGUCCGGAAAGAAAUCUGUCUGGCUAAUACCUAGAUGGGAUGACGGUACCGGAAGAAUAAGCACCGGCUAACUACGUGCCAGCAGCCGCGGUAAUACGUAGGGUGCGAGCGUUAAUCGGAAUUACUGGGCGUAAAGCGUGCGCAGGCGGUUUUGUAAGACCGAUGUGAAAUCCCCGGGCUUAACCUGGGAACUGCAUUGGUGACUGCAAGGCUAGAGUGCGUCAGAGGGGGGUGGAAUUCCGCGUGUAGCAGUGAAAUGCGUAGAGAUGCGGAGGAACACCGAUGGCGAAGGCAGCCCCCUGGGAUGACACUGACGCUCAUGCACGAAAGCGUGGGGAGCAAACAGGAUUAGAUACCCCGGUAGUCC
rnacentral:rRNA from 1 species